rnacentral:rRNA from 1 species
GUGGGGAAUUUUGGACAAUGGGCGCAAGCCUGAUCCAGCAAUGCCGCGUGCAGGAUGAAGGCCUUCGGGUUGUAAACUGCUUUUGUACGGAACGAAAAGCCCUGGGUUAAUACCCUGGGGUCAUGACGGUACCGUAAGAAUAAGCACCGGCUAACUACGUGCCAGCAGCCGCGGUAAUACGUAGGGUGCGAGCGUUAAUCGGAAUUACUGGGCGUAAAGCGUGCGCAGGCGGUUUUGUAAGACAGAGGUGAAAUCCCCGGGCUCAACCUGGGAACUGCCUUUGUGACUGAAAGGCUAGAGUACGGCAGAGGGGGAUGGAAUUCCGCGUGUAGCAGUGAAAUGCGUAGAUAUGCGGAGGAACACCGAUGGCGAAGGCAAUCCCCUGGGCCUGUACUGACGCUCAUGCACGAAAGCGUGGGGAGCAAACAGGAUUAGAUAACCGGGUAGUCC